rnacentral:rRNA from 1 species
GACGAACGCUGGCGGCGUGCUUAACACAUGCAAGUCGAACGAGAGGACAAGAGAAGCUUGCUUCUUUUGGAAUCGAGUGGCAAACGGGUGAGUAACACGUAAACAACCUGCCUUCAGGAUGGGGACAACAGACGGAAACGACUGCUAAUACCGAAUACGCUUGGGAGACCGCAUGAUCUUCCAAGGAAAGGGUGGCCUCUACUUGUAAGCUAUCGCCUGAAGAGGGGUUUGCGUCUGAUUAGGCAGUUGGUGAGGUAACGGCCCACCAAACCUACGAUCAGUAGCCGGUCUGAGAGGAUGAACGGCCACACUGGAACUGAGACACGGUCCAGACUCCUACGGAGGCAGCAGUGGGGAAUCUUCCGCAAUGGCGAAAGCCUGACGGAGCAACGCCGCGUGAGUGAUGACGGCCUCGGUGUAAGC